GACGAACCGAGCGAACGUUGUUCGGAAUCACUGGGCUUAAAGGGCUCGUAGGCGGCCAACUAAGUCAGACGUGAAAUCCCUCGGCUUAACCGGGGAACUGCGUCUGAUACUGGAUGGCUUGAGGUUGGGAGAGGGAUGCGGAAUUCCAGGUGUAGCGGUGAAAUGCGUAGAUAUCUGGAGGAACACCGGUGGCGAAGGCGGCAUCCUGGACCAAUUCUGACGCUGAGGAGCGAAAGCCAGGGGAGCAAACGGG
rnacentral:rRNA from 1 species